rnacentral:rRNA from 1 species
AGUGAACGCUGGCGGCGUGCCUAACACAUGCAAGUCGAACGAUGAAGAGCAGCUUGCUGCUCGGAUUAGUGGCGCACGGGUGAGUAACGCAAAGGUAAUGUGCCCCUUAGUCUGGGAUAGCCACUGGAAACGGUGAUUAAUACUAGAUACUCCUUCUCAUUAUAAGAUGAGUCGGGAAAGUUUUUCGCUAAGGGAUCAGCAUAUGUCCUAUCAGGUAGUUGGUGAGGUAACGGCUCACCAAGCCUAUGACGGGUAUCUGGUUUGAGAGGAUGAUCAGACACACUGGAACUGAGACACGGUCCAGACUCCUACGGGAGGCAGCAGUUAGGAAUAUUGCACAAUGGAGGAAACUCUGAUGCAGCAACGCCGCGUGGAGGAUGACGCAUUUCGGUGUGUAAACUCCUUUUAAGAGGGAAGAUUAUGACGGUACCUCUUGAAUAAGCACCGGCUAACUCCGUGCCAGCAGCCGCCGUAA